rnacentral:rRNA from 1 species
UACGUAGGGGGCGAGCGUUGUCCGGAUUUAUUGGGCGUAAAACGCUUGUAGGCGGCCACCGCGCGUCGGACGUGAAAUCUCCCGGCUCAACUGGGAGGGGUCGUGCGAUACGGCGGGGGCUCGAGGCCGGUAGAGGGACGCGGAAUUCCCGGUGUAGUGGUGGAAUGCGUAGAUAUCGGGGAGGAACACCAGUGGCGCCGAGGCGGCGUCCUGGACCGGCACUGACGCGUGAGGAGCGAAAGGCGUGGGGAGCGAUCCGG